rnacentral:rRNA from 1 species
GAUGAACGCUGGCGGCGUGCCUAAUACAUGCAAGUCGAGCGAAGCGGGGACGGGUGAGUAACAUGUGGAUAACCCCCUAUAAGACGGGGAUAACUUCGGGAAACCGGAGCCAAACCCGAUACUUUUAGAUGGUACAGUGCUGCAUUAGCUAGUUGGUAAGGUAACGGCUUACCAAGGCAAUGAUGCAUAGCCGACCUGAGAGGGUGAUCAGCCACACUGGAACUGAGACACGGUCCAGACUCCUACGGGAGGCAGCAGUAGGGAAUAUUCCACAAUGGGCGCAAGCCUGACGGAGCAACGCCGCGUGAAUGAAGAAGGUCUUCGGAUCGUAAAGCUCUGUUAUUAGGGAAGCGGUACCUAAUCAGGAAGCCACGGCUAACUCCGUGCCAGCCGCCGCGGUAAUAC